GCAGUGUUGGUUCUGUGGUAGAAUUUUCACCUUCUAUGCAGGAGAUCUGGGUUUGAUUCCCAGCCAAUGCA
rnacentral:tRNA from 1 species